ACGGCUCCGAGAACUCCAAAAUAGAACCCGACGAUUUUCUGAUUCCCCCCCCUGCCGGAUCUUCCUCCCUGUUCGCCGGAGCUUCCUCCCUUAUCGCCCGAUGUUUCCACCUCUCCUGAUCUUCUCUCUCCACUCUUCUAAUCUCGUUUCUGUUUGUGCUCCACCUCUACAUUUUUUUGUUGUGAUCUCCUUACUUGAUUUUUAAGCUUCUAUUUUUUUUUUAAUUCCAGGUUUUUCCACAUUAAAUUCAAGAUUUCUAUUUUUUUAUAAAUUCAAAUUCCAAAUUUGUUUUUUUUUUCAAAUUACCCAUGGAUCAUCAAGAAAAUAAAACCAUGGAUACUCAUAAAGAUGAAUUGAAUGAAACCAUCGAUGAGGAGAAAACAAACAAAUCAUUGAUGCCCAAAAUCUAAUGAUCAGCGACUCCAACAAGGUGAAUUGUCUUUUCUGUCAUUUCAUAUCGAAAACAAAGAUUCCUCGAUUGAAAGAACAUAUAAUUGGAGGUGAUCAAGUGUUACAAAACAACAAAAAUUGUUAGAAACAAGGUGCUUGCUUAUGAGAAUACAAGGGAAGGCUAAAGCAAUGGUCAUCAAGAUGGCUAAAAAAUCAGUGUAUUUUGAGGAAGAUGAACAAUCUGAUGAUGAUGAUGUGGUGAUAGUUGAUGAUAACUAUAUAAUCUGCAUAAUUAGUCACUUCUACAAAUAUAUUACACUCUAUAAUAUAAGUUGGUUAAUAGACUGUUAUACUAGA
rnacentral:lncRNA from 1 species